rnacentral:rRNA from 1 species
CCAUGCUGUAAACGUUGGGCACUAGGUGUGGGGCCGCUUGGUUCUGCGCCGUAGCUAACGCAUUAAGUGUCCCGCCUGGGGAGUACGGCCGCAAGGCUAAAACUCAAAGGAAUUGACGGGGGCCCGCACAAGCGGCGGAGCAUGUGGAUUAAUUCGAUGCAACGCGAAGAACCUUACCUGGGCUUGACAUACACUAGAUUGGGCCAGAGAUGGUUUGUCCCUUUGUGGUUGGUGUACAGGUGGUGCAUGGUUGU